rnacentral:lncRNA from 1 species
GCAGGAGAGAAGCAGAGUCCCUUCCUGGGGCCAGGUCCUGCCCCGGCUCUGCAGAGAGGAGAUGAGGGCUUGUAGGAAGCCAGGGCUGAUGGAGGCUGCAGCAUGGAGGCCCACAGAGGCUGUAGGGUGGAGGCCCACAGAGGCUGCAGGGUGGAGGCCCACACAGGCUGCAGGGUGGAGGCCAUGGCUGCUGAGCCCAGGAGGCAGGCCACACGGGAACAGCAAAUGGAUUCUAAUGACCAUCGGUGGUCACCAGAGCUGGGCCCGGGAGGGUCAGGGAGCAGCCACCAGCAGGUAGAGUCUCCUCCUGGUGAAGAAGUGUUUUAGAAGUUGAUGGAGGUGGCAGCUACCUGGCGUGAGGGACACCCUGGAUGGCUCAAGUCCCAGCCGCCCACCUGCAGCCCCUGGAGAGGGAGGCUCCCGGCCGCCAAGGGCCUGCGUCAGCCCCGCCACCCGAGUCCCAGGGCCACGUCGGACCGAGACGCGGGCCAGCAGGCUCUUCAGACAGACAAGUGGGGGGCCAGGGUGGGUCAGGGCCUUGUGACGCCCUGCGGGAGCCUCAGUCGGCCAGCACAGGGCCGAGCAGCACUGCCCCCGGGGCUGGGGACCCGGGCUGCAGAGCGCUCGACCUCCUAAUGCACCAGGGACCUGCCCCUCAGCCCCAGGGAGGACCGGCGGGAAAUUCAGGGGUAAAACAGAAAAGGCUCUUUGGAAACCUGUCUGCUUGCUUUCUUUUAAUACAGAAAGGAUGAAGCAGUGAGAUGAAGGGAUUUAGGGGGUGGCUGGUGACGGGGACACGGAGAAGACUCAGUCAUGAGAGGAGCCGCCUGAGCCAGCCUCUGAGCCAGCCUCUGAGCGGGGGACUGGCCCUGGCCACCUCGUCCGGGGAUUUCCGGGUCUGUGUGGGACAACUGUGACCACAACAGGCCGCACCAAGCCCAGGCUCUGGCCCCAGCUGCCCCCAGGACAGAGUGGCCGCGGCUAGCCCGCGCGUCCCCCCUGCCGCAGGCCCUGGCCGCAGCUGGAAAUGGGCCAGCUCUGACCCAGGGAGGCCCUGAGUCCCGGGGCCCGACUCUUGUCUCACCAGAGGACUCAGGCCUCGAGAGCCACCAGGAGCCUGGCUGACCUCGAGGAGCAGGGUCCCUCCCGCCACUGCCUGCCUCGGACGCGACGUGAGCAGGAGGUCCUCUCAGGCACUCGGGGGUUACUGACCGCGUGGUCAUCUCAGCACCGUGAGCUACUGGUCAGAGCGCAAUCGGGGCUCCCACGAGCAGAUGUGGGCCUGAGUGGCUUCGGUGUAUGGACCAUCAAAUAAUGACAAGAGAAAACGGAGUCCCCCCAGGGCGGGAGCAGGACACGUCACCCCGCCGGGAAGCGGCAGCCCAAAGACAGGACCCAGGUGGGCUUGUCCAGAGCCCUCACCUCUGACCCCAGGGCACCCCCUGUUGUGGAGGAGAGAAGGGAUACAGAAAGGACAAGGGGACAGCCCAGGGUGACCCAGGGCUGGGGCUCGUCCACCUGCUGGAGCCCCUGUGACCGUGGGCCAGCCUGGGUCCUCCCUGGGGAGAGGGCGCCCCUGCAGGGCGGUGGCAAGCCC